CCUCCCCUGGCCUGCCCGCUCAGCUGGGCACCCCACAAUGCCCCUAGGAGGGCUGCAGUGGGUUCCUGCAGGGGUUCGGGUGCCCUUCCCUGCCCUUCGGCCGGUCCUCAGAGGUGCCUGCUGUGGUCAUUUCCUUGCUGGAGUGGCACUGGAUGAACAAAUGAAUGGACACUGGGCAGGCCCAUGGUCAGAACAAGAUACAUGGAGAGCGAAUACUGUGCUUUGCUUGGGCAUCUGGUAAGCCAAGAUGAGAAAACUGGGGAGGAAGGUGACUGCACAGUGUGACAGGACAGGUUUGAGCUCAAGAAAUCCAGAAGAAAAGGGAAUGCCUUGAGAUUUUGAAGGUGGCUAAAGCUAAAGGAGGGAUCCUUUCUUUUUCCAUUUAAAAGACUCAACCAAAAGUUCCCCAUGAAGAACUGAAGGACUCCAGAAAACCCCUCUGUGCCACACCCACAGAUGAUUUGCUGAAUGCUCAUUAAGGGAAAAACAAAGAGGUGGUUUUGUUUAUUUAUUUAAGAGGAAAAGUAAAUGAGCUGUGACAAAACAAUUUGAAAUCAGGCCCCUUCCAGACCUGGGCUUUCACUUCCUUGAUGGGAAGUAAAACAGAGAAUCAAAUCCCCCUCCAAAUAAAAGUGAAGUUAAUAAUCAGACAGCCCGAGCCUCGGCUACAUCCUGUGUCAGCUCCCUCCCUCCCUGGGCUCACUGUUUAUAGCUGCUGAGCUGCCCUUCGGAGCUCAGAGCUGGCUUAA